UACGUAGGGUGCGAGCGUUGCCCGGAUUUAUUGGGCGUAAAGGGCGCGCAGGCGGCUACGCACGUCCGUUGUGAAAUCGCUCGGCUCAACUGGGCGGGGUCAGCGGAUACGGCGUGGCUUGAGCAAGCUAGGGGGCAAUGGAAUUCCCGGUGUAGUGGUGGAAUGCGUAGAUAUCGGGAGGAACACCAGUGGCGAAGGCGGUUGCCUGGAGCUUUGCUGACGCUGAGGCGCGAAAGCGUGGGGAGCGAGUCCGG
rnacentral:rRNA from 1 species